AGCUCACUGGUCGAGUCGGCCUGCGCGGAAGAUGUAACGGGGCUAAACCAUGCACCGAAGCUGCGGCAGCGACACUAUGUGUUGUUGGGUAGGGGAGCGUUCUGUAAGCCUGUGAAGGUGUGCUGUGAGGCAUGCUGGAGGUAUCAGAAGUGCGAAUGCUGACAUAAGUAACGAUAAAGCGGGUGAAAAGCCCGCUCGCCGGAAGACCAAGGGUUCCUGUCCAACGUUAAUCGGGGCAGGGUGAGUCGACCCCUAAGGCGAGGCCGAAAGGCGUAGUCGAUGGGAAACAGGUUAAUAUUCCUGUACUUGGUGUUACUGCGAAGGGGGGACGGAGAAGGCUAUGUUGGCCGGGCGACGGUUGUCCCGGUUUAAGCGUGUAGGCUGGUUUUCCAGGCAAAUCCGGAAAAUCAAGGCUGAGGCGUGAUGACGAGGCACUACGGUGCUGAAGCAACAAAUGCCCUGCUUCCAGGAAAAGCCUCUAAGCAUCAGGUAACAUCAAAUCGUACCCCAAACCGACACAGGUGGUCAGGUAGAGAAUACCAAGGCGCUUGAGAGAACUCGGGUGAAGGAACUAGGCAAAAUGGUGCCGUAACUUCGGGAGAA
rnacentral:rRNA from 1 species